rfam:Anaerolineaceae bacterium 4572_32.1 ex4572_32.1_scaffold_11528, whole genome shotgun sequence.
CGGGGCGUAGCUCAGUCCGGUUGGAGCGCGCGGUUUGGGACCGCGAGGCCGGCGGUUCAAGUCCGCCCGCCCCGA